UUUGGUGCACAGCGAGUGCACCUUCAUCAGGGGUCCUGGUCCUGGACCCAGACUCCUGACGAAGGUGCACUCGCUGUGCACCUAA